UACGUAGGUGGCGAGCGUUGUCCGGAUUUACUGGGCGUAAAGAGCGCGCAGGCGGUCGUUCAAGUCGCGUGUGAAAGCCCCCGGCUCAACUGGGGAGGGUCACGCGAUACUGAUCGACUCGAAGGCAGGAGAGGGAAGUGGAAUUCCCGGUGUAGUGGUGAAAUGCGUAGAUAUCGGGAGGAACACCAGUGGCGAAGGCGACUUCCUGGCCUGUUCUUGACGCUGAGGCGCGAAAGCUAGGGGAGCAA
rnacentral:rRNA from 1 species